CCGGUCAGACGAACGCGGCGGCGUGCUUAAUACAUGCAAGUCGAGCGGAUUCCAGAGAAGCUUGCUUUUCUGGAAUUAGCGGCGGACGGGUGAGUAACACGUGGGCAACCUGCCCUAUAGUUGGGGAUAACUCCGGGAAACCGGGGCUAAUACCGAAUGAUACAUUUCAUCUCCUGUUGAAAUGUUGAAAGAUGGUUUACGCUAUCGCUAUAGGAUGGGCCCGCGGCGCAUUAGCUAGUUGGUGAGGUAACGGCUCACCAAGGCGACGAUGCGUAGCCGACCUGAGAGGGUGAUCGGCCACACUGGGACUGAGACACGGCCCAGACUCCUACGGGAGGCAGCAGUAGGGAAUCUUCCACAAUGGGCGAAAGCCUGAUGGAGCAACGCCGCGUGAGUGAAGAAGGUUUUCGGAUCGUAAAACUCUGUUGUAAGGGAAGAACAAGUACAGUAGUAACUGGCUGACCUUGACGGACC
rnacentral:rRNA from 1 species